AAGAGAUCGGGAUAACACCUGGAAACAGAUGCUAAUACCGGAUAACAACAGAUGAUGCCUAUCAACUGUUUAAAAGAUGGUUCUGCUAUCACUCUUGGAUGGACCUGCGGUGCAUUAGCUAGUUGGUAGGGUAACGGCCUACCAAGGCGAUAAUGCAUAGCCGAGUUGAGAGACUGAUCGGCCACAUUGGGACUGAGACACGGCCCAAACUCCUACGGGAGGCAGCAGCC
rnacentral:rRNA from 1 species